UCAAAUGAAUUGACGGGGGCCCGCACAAGCGGUGGAGCAUGUGGUUUAAUUCGAUGCAACGCGAAGAACCUUACCUACCCUUGACAUCCUCGGAAUCUGCCGGAGACGGCGGAGUGCCUUCGGGAGCCGAGUGACAGGUGCUGCAUGGCUGUCGUCAGCUCGUGUUGUGAAAUGUUGGGUUAAGUCCCGUAACGAGCGCAACCCUUGU
rnacentral:rRNA from 1 species